AGGAGCAGUGAGGGGGAGGAAGGGGGAGGGAGGAAAGGGUCAGAAGUCAGCUCUUUCCCAGGCAGAAGGCCUAAUACUGGGACUUGCAGUUGGACCUGCAGCAGUUUAUGCUUCUGGGUUUUAUUUCUGGCUUUUCAGAACUUGGGGGAAUUCAGCCUUGGGUUCAGAGCCCAGAGCUUUAAGGGUUUUGUGGCUUUGAGAGGUCAGACUUAACAGCCCAACAAGCAGCCGGGGGAAGGGAAAUCUUGACUUUUCUUCACUCCAGGCACUCACCUCUCAUUCUCUCAUGCAGCAGAGGAAAACUGAGUGGCUACUAUGAGCCAGGUUGUCAACUUGGAUACAUGCAUCCACAUCACAGUUGGAGUAAAGAGUCAGAAAUGAAAACUGAAAUACAAUUGUGCCUGCACCUGUUAUCUUUCAGAGGAUCCUCACAGCAGUCUUCUGAGUAAACUGAGGUUCAGAGUUGAUAAUCCUUCUACAAAGACCUGUUGAUGAAUGCCACAAAAAGUCCAGGAGGAAAGGGGGAUUCCUCAGAUAUUAAAAAAGGUACUAUGUCAGGCCCUGGGGAUACCACUCAUUCCCUCUCCUUACGGGAAUUGCUUGCAGCACCCAGCUGCCCCUGCCCACUCUCGGUGAAUACUUGCUGAAGAAAUGCUGGAAUGAGAGAACACAGGCUUGAAGAAGUCAUCACAAAAGCUGAGCUCCCACCAUGGACCAAGGCCCUGGGCCCCUCUUCCUCCAGGAUGUCUCUGGGAGACCAGCUUCUCCUAAUCUCCUGACUUCCGGAGAAUGUUUCCAAAUAGCACAACAUGGAUUUACAAAGAUUCAAAGGCAGCUGCCUGCAUCCCUCUAUCUAAAUACCCCUUUGGUGAAGAAAUAGGCUGAACAAGAGGAAGGCCUAUGUGGAGAAGGCACAGGCUUUCGACUUAGGAGAACUGAGAUCAAGUCUUUCCUCUGCCAGCCGAGUGUACUUCACCAAGCUGAUUCCCCUUCUCUGAGAUUUUUUCUUCAUUCAUAAACCAAGAUGGAUAAGAGGCCUGGAUUUACUCUCCCACCUGAAACAACCAAAAAGACCCGACAGUAUAUCAAACAGUGGUUUUCAGAGCACCAGCUAUCUGGAAAUGAAGGGCAGCGACCCCUGAAAGACAGGAAGCCAGUGAGGAAACUUCCCACGUCUUUAUGUACCAAUACCUGUGAUUAUGCAAAGCUUCGUUUAAAACCACAGUCCGUGUUCACAUCCAGAACAUAAACAAACCGAGGACUUGCUGUUCCAGGCCCUCCCUCCCAACUUUCCAAAAGAAUAUCUUCUCAACAUAAAGAGAGAUGCACUCUUCGUUUCUGUGGAAAACAAGUGCUCCUGGUUAUAUGAUCACAUACCCCUGAAACGGUUACGCUUCUUCAUGUGCUGCAUUUUAGAAGGCCCAUAAAAGAGUUCUUGUCGAGAGAAAACACAGCUGGUGCCCAAUUAGAGAGGUGAUCAAGACUAAUUGACCGCGAGAGCUCGUAAUGAAGCCAGACCCCACGCUGCCGAGAGAGAGAGACUGCGGCUGGGGAUGGAGGUGGCACUACUCGAUCACACAAAGGCCAUGACUGAGAGGGGUGGAUGGUUUAUUCCGGGAGGCAGAGUUGGUCAUGUGGUGACCCCUGAAUUUAAGGUUUAAAGGCUGGCUCUGCAAGGCUGACACCUGGCUCUGGCUCACUCCCUUCCGUGGGGACCCUCAGCUCUCAAACCUCUAUUCAUGCAUCAGCUCCUAUCUAGUCUGUCAUCACUGGCCCUGGGAGAUUUCCAGAGAGGAAGGUGACCAUCAUCUUCAGGAAGACCUCCAGGAUGUGUCUGUACUUCUGUCCUCACAGCCCUCUUCAGACAGUGGAUGUAUUCCUUACCCCUUCCCUCCCAAACAUCACACUGGCACCCCUCCUGGCCCAUGGCUGCUGCUUCUGUGUCUUCUUCCCACUCUGCCCUCUAAGACCCCAAGACACUGUGUUGCACCCAAGAUGCUCUGCUUAAAACCUGGCUGCUCUGUGUGCCUCUGUCUCAGACCAUAAGUGGAACCUGUAUUCCUCAAUCUCUCUGUGGAGAUGGUUUUUGCUUUUCCAUAGCCCCCAUGCCUCAGGGCCAAAAGGCAGGAUCAAGUUUAUUCUUUUGCCUCCCAGUGCUACUCCCAAUAGCCCCCUGGCCAUUGGAUGUUUGCACCCCCAUCCGCCUGGUUGUGGUCAUCUGUGACUUUUAAGUGACUCUUCUACAUCUGGUCUUUCUCCAGCUUCCUGUGGCAUAGAGGGCAGUGGGCUUAUACAGACACCUUUCUCCAAGGUGUUCCAUUUUAUAUAUGUGUGUUUGACUAUUAAAAAAGCACACUUUAUUUCCAAAGCUCAUCUCCUGGCAAAAAGUAUAGCCCAGGAAGUUGCAAAAUACUUAACUGGAGGCUGGUUAUAUCCUUACAUGAACCCCCAUUGUCCCAGAGGAAUGAAAACAUGGCUCCAUCGGUCAGACCUUUGACCUCCCCAGUUCCAGGGACCUUCACCUUGACUGCAUGCCAGUCACCCCACUCAGAGCCACACCUUGCUCUUAUCUCGGCUGGCUUCUACUCCACCCAUGAAAUCUUAAACCGCAGUGUCUCACUCUCCAGCCCUCCCUCUUAUCUCUCCAGAGCUUUCACCAAGCUGGCCUUGGACCUCCUCCUAAGUUCCUGGCUCUGGACCCCUCCCUCCUUUCUUCCCAGCCUCUCAGACCUCCUGGGAUUCUCACUCUUGCCCUGCCUCUUCUGCCACAUGGAUGGAGGGACAAAUAGCAAGAGCAAGAAAGAAACAUUUGUGUCUGUAAGCCACUUAGACAUUUUUAAAAAAUUUUCUGCAGCAUGACCUGGCUCUUCCUACUGAGGUACCUGCCCCCUCGGUGGGCGAGAAGGUGAAAGGUCAUGUGAGUAGAGCGCAGGCCCCGUGUCGGGUCCAUAAUAAUCGCUCCAGAAAUACUAGCUAUUACUCUCACCACCAAAAUUCACAGGGCCCGUGGCACUGCCUUGUAAUGUAUGUAAGGUAUCUACACAUCCCCAGUUGGAUCACUCUCCUUCUGUACAAUAGCGAUUCCAAGCUUUAUCCAUCAUCUUCCCACCAAACCCUCAGUCUUCGUAAAAAAGAUAGAAGUGAUCAGGUGGGAACUUUCUCAGUAAGUUUUCUCCAAACCUGCAAGUUUCAGUUUCCCUCCUGUCUUAGAGGAAGUUGGGUUCUAUCACCUGACCACAAGUAUUGGAGGGCAGAAGUAUCAGUGACUUCUAAGACUGGGAAAAGCUGAGCAUUCAUUCAUUCCUCCAUCCAUUCGUCCAUUAUAAAUACCAAGUAGGAGGGAGUCUGGGGCUUUGAGAAAUGUGAUUUGAAGAUGAGGAAAAAUUGAGACCUAAAGGGAUAGCCAGGCUAUACCUAUUUUUUUUUUGCUUUUCUCAGAUUGGCGUACUCUGUGCUCUCUUGCCUACCUACCCAGGUACAUCCGGUGGCCAAAGCGGGGAAGUGGGAGGACUGGCCUGGCACUCACAAACCAGGCCUACCUGCCUCUACCCUGGAGGAAGAAAAGAGAAGGCCGGUGAGGCAUCUGUAAGGAAAGCUUGAGGAAGGGACUGCUCUUGUCGAAGCUCCAUCCAUUCUUCCGGGCUACAUGAGUGGCUGACACACAAAGAAAGAACUGCACGCUUCUCCCACCUCCAGGCAGGAUUCCCCGGGACCCCAAACAGACAGACAGACAGGCAGGCAGGCAGGCAGACAGACAGACGGUGCUGUUUCUCCUCCUGAUACAGCAUCCUGGGCAGCUGAGGCUGACUCAGCCUCUGCACCCUCCCAGAGGGUGGGGUAGACAGUACGCCUAGUCCGCUGGGUGGACGCGAUAGGUGGCACCCGGAGUAAAGUCGCAGACAUCUGCAGACACAGAGAACUUUGAUUCCCCCGCAACUCAGGGACAUUUGCAGCGCUCCCUCCUUUACCUGUCACUCAGUCACACCAGCUGGUUCCAAACUCAAACAGCCAUCGGCCCUCUCCCUGGGCGACUGGGAUGGGAAGUCCUUGGUGGCGCAGCACCUCGCGGCUGAAAGGGCCUUAGGGACCCCUUCAUCCCCUGGAGGAUGACAGGACCGUCCACCCAUUCCAGGAAGAUUCCAGGUCCUGGCGGCAGGGCCCAAAGAGCCGAAAGAGUUGGCAACUCAGAUCCAGGGCAACUUGCUUGUUAAGGACACAGGUCAUGGCCGCCAGGCUUAGGUGAAAGAAAGUGUUUAGUGUGUAAACAUUAAAGUGUUUGCCUUUA